GUUGUUAGCUGUCUUUUAUUUAACCCCCAAAUAAUCAGUUGCAAAACUAUUUUAUUAUUAGCUAUUUUGUCAAAACAGCUAUACAGUGGAGUUGCCUUUGAUGUAAGUAAGAGUUGAGCUCAUGAAGAGUCAUAUGUAGCCAAAAUUUCCCCUUUGUAAAACUCAAAUCAAAAAUACAGUAUAUAUAGCCAUAUUUGUGCAUACUUAAAAAACAGAUAUACUGUGUCUCAAGAAUGCCAUGUGGUAACUUUUUUCUACUGGUUCAGUUAAGUAUCAGGAAGAGCAUAUGGUUUGCUUUUACACCCAUUUUAUGCCAAAACAUGCUUGUACCUUUAAAUACUGGAGAUGCUCACAGCAUUACUAAAAGCUUGCCUGUUCACUGUCUCUGAGUAAAACUGUCUGGGAGUGGAGUUUGCAGGUUCACUCACUCAAGCUAGUGUGUCGUUUAUGCAAGCACGUGUAUGCCAAGGACAUGCAGUUGAUUUUACAUAUAGUGUAAAUGUGUAUUUUACAACUUUGCUGUAAUACUGCAUUUACGAAUGGAUGUUUCAAGAGCUGUAUAACAAAGCUUAUAGAAAUAGGCAUUCUUUCGCCAGAUAUAGUCAUGCAGAUAAUGAAAAAUUCUGUAAAUCUUUAAAUAUUAACUAUCCUCGGAUGCUACCCAUCCAAUCAAAGAGAAUUGUUUAAAAUAUAUCUAAUGACUUGAUAUUGGAUAGGAUCUAAGUACUAUGCAUAUGACAUUUCACAACUCUAAUAGGCAUUGCUCAAAAUAUACUUAUAAAAUAUACUAAAUAUUAUCAAAACUAAGGACAAUUACCUCUAUAAUGUUAUCUUACAGGGUACUCUUAUGCAAUCAUGGAGAAUUAUGGGCAUCACGAUAACAUUUUGAGAUCUGCUGUUUUCAUAUAGAGCAGGUCUAAUGUAAUGACUCAGACAGUUUGCUUAACUUGCCCUGUGGGAGGAAAAAUAUAUAAGUGACACAGUGCUUGGCCUUUCAUAAAGUGGGGCCAAAGGUUUUCCAAAAAACACAGCUUGGUACACAGAUCAUAGCAUGAAUAGAAUAGCACUGGACCUUCCUUCAAAACUUUAGCUAGAGCAAGCUUCCUCCCCAAAUCAUGGCCCCAAGUGAAAUUUAUCCUCCCAAGUAUCCACUAAUUCAUUUGGUAGUGUCAGAUUCCAAUUACUGGUCACCAAAUGAACUCGUUUAUUAAAAAUCUUAAUUUAUUUGGGAAAAAAGCUUAAAGUUAUUUCUCAAGCAAUUUGUAUCUAAUAAUAUGCUUAUUUCAAAAUAACUUUCAGAAUGAAACAUUUAGUAUCAAGGUAAAAACAUAAGUACCUUUUCAAAUACAGUAAUUAAUAAUGAGUUUCUUUUUUUCUUUUUAGGAUGUAUUUAGGGUUUGGGAAAAAGAAUGGCAAUAACAAGAUAUCAAGGUUGAUUGGAAAUACCAUAAGGAAAAAUUGGUUCCUAUACUUUAAUGAAUAGAUAAAUAUGAUCUGUCAUUCACUUGUCAAGUAUAUAGUGUUUCCUUUCUAACAUCUUAAAUAAAGCCUGUCCUCACCACUUUCUCCACAAUGAAGACUGUUAUUACUUUACACCACCAAUGAAGAAAUAAUUGACUUUUAAUCAACUUCAGCCACCAUCCAAAUUAUUGAAGUCUGAAUUUCAAUACAUUAUUAUUACUUGAAUUUCAAUAAGGUACUUUGUUCAUGAAUACUCUUUUUGUUACUGGGAAAUAGGUAAAAAAUAAAGCAUUAGAUAUUAAAUUAUUGAUUUCUAGAGAUUGACAGAUUACCUUGCCAAGUGCUUUAUAUUAUUAUUGUAUAAUUAUCUCAGAGUAGGGACCUUCAAACCUGAAGAAUGAAAUCAAGACAAUAUGUAGUUCUCAUUUUUGCAUCACAGAUAGGAAUAUUUCUUCUUGUCCAUUAAGUUCCUAGUCUAGUUAAUAAAGAACAUUACCUGC
rnacentral:lncRNA from 1 species